UAUCUAGUGUCUGAUUAAAGUAUAAAUCUUUUAAAUUUAUUAUAGUGUUUACACUCUAGAUAGC
rnacentral:tRNA from 1 species